GUCAGAAGAGACAACAGAGACCUGGGGAGGAGGAUUCAGAAGGAAGACUGGACAGGAGGAGAAGUGAACGGAGGGGAUCCAGGUUUCUCUCGGCCAUGGCAGUUUCUCGGACUUUCCUUGAUUUGAGGGCCUUGAUAGUUUUGAGGAAUAUUGGCCAGAUGUUUUGCAGAGUGUGCUUCAGUUGUGAUUUGUCUGUUUUUUUCCAUGAUUGGACUGAAAUUAUGGGUUUGGGAAAGGAAGAUUAUAGAGAUAGAGUGCCUUUCCAAUCAUAUCGUAUUAAAGGUACGUGCUAUCCAU